rnacentral:rRNA from 1 species
CCUACGGGAGGCAGCAGUGAGGAAUAUUGGUCAAUGGACGAGAGUCUGAACCAACCAAGUAGCGUGAAGGAUGACUGCCCUAUGGGUUGUAAACUUCUUUUAUAUGGGAAUAAAACGUUCCACGUGUGGGAUUUUGUAUGUACCAUAUGAAUAAGGAUCGGCUAACUCCGUGCCAGCAGCCGCGGUAAUACGGAGGAUCCGAGCGUUAUCCGGAUUUAUUGGGUUUAAAGGGAGCGUAGGUGGAUUGUUAAGUCAGUUGUGAAAGUUUGCGGCUCAACCGUAAAAUUGCAGUUGAAACUGGCAGUCUUGAGUACAGUAGAGGUGGGCGGAAUUCGUGGUGUAGCGGUGAAAUGCUUAGAUAUCACGAAGAACUCCGAUUGCGAAGGCAGUUCACUGGACUGCAACUGACACUGAGGCUCGAAAGUGUGGGUAUCAAACAGGAUUAGAUACCCUUGUAGUC